GUAGGUGGCAAGCGUUGUCCGGAAUUACUGGGUGUAAAGGGAGCGCAGGCGGGUGAUCAAGUCAGCUGUGAAAACUACGGGCUUAACCCGUAGACUGCAGUUGAAACUGUUCAUCUUGAGUGAAGUAGAGGUUGGCGGAAUUCCGAGUGUAGCGGUGAAAUGCGUAGAUAUUCGGAGGAACACCGGUGGCGAAGGCGGCCAACUGGGCUUUAACUGACGCUGAGGCUCGAAAGUGUGGGUAGCAAGCAGGAUUAGAUACCCUGGUAGUCCACACCGUAAACGAUGAUUACUAGGUGUUGGAGGAUUGACCCCUUCAGUGCCGCAGUUAACACAAUAAGUAAUCCACCUGGGGAGUACGACCGCAAGGUUG
rnacentral:rRNA from 1 species